CAAGUCGAACGAGAUUAUUUUUUUGUUUACAAAGAAAUGAUUGCAGUGGCGGACGGGUGAGGAACACGUAAGAACUUACCUUUUGGCGGGGGAUAACAACGGGAAACUGUUGCUAAUACCCCAUAAUGCUGAGGAGCGAAAGGGAAACUGCCAAAAGAGAGGCUUGCGUCUGAUUAGCUAGUUGGCGGAGGUAAAUGCUCCCCAAGGCGACGAUCAGUAGCUGGUCUGAGAGGAUGAUCAGCCACACUGGGACUGAGACACGGCCCAGACUCCUACGGGAGGCAGCAGUGGGGAAUUUUCCACAAUGGGCGAAAGCCUGAUGGAGCAAUACCGCGUGAAGGAUGAAGGAUCGUGGUCCGUAAACUUCUUUUCUUAACGAAGAAAAUCUGACGGUAGUUAAGGAAUAAGCACCGGCUAACUCCGUGCCAGCAGCCGCGGUAAUACGGGGGGUGCAAGCGUUGUCCGGAAUGAUUGGGCGUAAAGCAUCUGUAGGUGGUUUUUAAAGUCGACUGUUAAAGCCCAGGGCUCAACUUUGGAUAAGCGGUCGAGUACUUAAGGACUUGAGUAUGGUAGGGGUAGAGGGAAUUCCUAGUGGAGCGGUGAAAUGCACAGAGAUUAGGAAGAACACCGAGGGCGAAAGCACUCUACUGGGCCAUGACUGACACUGAGAGAUGAAAGUUGGGGGAGCGAAAAGGAUUAGAUACCCUUGUAGUCCCAACCGUAAACGAUGGAUACUAAGUGCUGACAAAAUCAGUGCUGUAGCUAACGCGUUAAGUAUCCCGCCUGGGGAGUAUGCUCGCAAGAGUGAAACUCAAAGGAAUUGACGGGAACUGGCACAAGCGGUGGAUUAUGCGG
rnacentral:rRNA from 1 species